AGUAACGCGUGGGUAACCUGCCUCAUACAGGGGGAUAACAGUUAGAAAUGACUGCUAAUACCGCAUAAGCGCACAGUGCUGCAUGGCACAGUGUGGAAAACUCCGGUGGUAUGAGAUGGACCCGCGUCUGAUUAGCUAGUUGGUGGGGUAACGGCCUACCAAGGCGACGAUCAGUAGCCGGCCUGAGAGGGUGAACGGCCACAUUGGGACUGAGACACGGCCCAA
rnacentral:rRNA from 1 species